GGACUUCCGGCGAGGCAGCAUGGCGGCUGCAACAGCAGAAAAGAGCUCCUGAAGCCAGCCAGAGUAAAAGGCUCUGUCUGGCCGACUCCUGGGCUCCCAGGACUGCUGCCGCCAGCACCGCCAGCGGAGAGGAAUCGGGGGUGCCCGGGGAGCCUAUCAAAGGAGCCAAAACACCCCCCCCCACAGAGAUUGAGCCGGAAAGACACCCGACCACCCCCCCCAACAGCCGAGAGGAGCUCCAAAACCAGGAGGACAGUGGAGCUAACGCAGAGAGGGAGAAAAGGGGGAAAGAAGAAGAAAAAGAAAGAAAGAAAAAGGAGCCCCAAACUUACCGCUGCUGCCCCCAUCUCUGCUGACAAGAAAGCAGAGGAGAGGUAGGUGAGCACGGGAAGGCAAAAGAGGCUCCGGAAAAAACACGUGGCUGAGCCCCACCGGGAGCUCCAGCAGCAAGGAAAACACAGAGAAGCUGCAUAACAAAGGGGAUUUCCCCCCCUUUCUUUCUUUUCUUUUCUUUUUUUUAAACCCCCCCCCCUUUUUUUUAACCCCUUCCUCCCCUCCCUCCCCCCUUUAAAAUAUAUAUAUAUAUAUCUUUUUUAUCCCUCCCCCCCCAUAUACCUACUUUUAUCACUUUUCUUUUUAAAAGAGGGGCCACUGCUGCUGCAGCCACCCUUUAUUUGAAUCUUUAUUUUUAUUGCUAUCUUUUCUACACACUAUUUAAAGACACACUUUUCCACACACACACUCUGAAUUCAAACCUCAUUUUAUUUCCACCUCAAACUCCCCUCUUAAGAACUAAAAUGGCAGUACCCAGGAAACAGCCCUGAACCAUCACAGGCCAUUUCCUGGGACUGCCACUUCGCCCAGACUUUCCACUCUCUUUUACCUAUCCUCUUUUACCUAUACUUUACUC